AGCCGGAGUUGUUGUGCACUGGUGUAAACGUGAGCACGUUGGUAACAAAAAACCCUAUAGGGAGGUCAUACUCAUGGACGAAAGGUUCAACCUCAUAGUUGUUGGAAUUUGGUGUGAGAUUUUAGAGCAAUAUACGAUAAGCUUGCAAUCUGCGGGAAAUAAUAAACAUGUUAUCAUUGGCACCAUGCUAAAAUUGAACAAGAUACACAGGUGUCUGGAGACUUCAGUUCACACGAGUUUUGCAUUCAAUCCAACUAAUCCGCGAACCCGUAAACUGCAUGGUGAGUAGUUCCAGAACCA